rnacentral:tRNA from 1 species
ACUCCUGUAGCUCAGAGGCAGAGCGCCUGGCCCACACCCAGGAGGUUGGGGUUUCGAGAUCCCCCGGGAGUACCA